GACGAACGCUGGCGGCGUGGAUUAGGCAUGCAAGUCGAACGGUAUCAUCCUUUCGGGGGUGAGAGAGUGGCGAACUGGUGAGUAACACGUAGGUUAUCUACCCUCAAGACGGGGACAACCCAGGGAAACUUGGGCUAAUACCGGAUGUGAGCAACUUUUAGUUGUUUGAAAGGUGGCGUAAGCUGUCGCUUGGGGAUGAGCCUGCGUCCUAUUAGUUAGUUGGUGAGGUAACGGCUCACCUAGGCAAUGAUAGGUAGGCGGCCUUAACGGGUGGUCGCCCACACUGGGAUUGAGAUACGGCCCAGACUCCUACGGGAGGCAGCAGUCGAGAAUAGUCUACAAUGGUCGGAAGACUGAUAGUGCGACGCCGCGUGAACGAUGAAUCCCUUCGGGGUGUAAAGUUCUUUUAUAUGUGAGCAGUGCUUCUUAUAUUAACAGUAUGGGGAAGAGAUAUUAGCAUAUGAAUAAGCAACGGCUAACUCCGUGCCAGCAGCCGGGU
rnacentral:rRNA from 1 species